UUGCUGUGUGAAGGCGUGGGUAU
rnacentral:piRNA from 1 species